rnacentral:tRNA from 1 species
GCGGAGAUGCCGGAGUGGUCAAACGGGACAGGCUUAGGACCUGUUAGCUUAGUGCUUACCUAGGUUCGAAUCCUAGUCUCCGCA